GACGAACGCUGGCGGCGUGCUUAACACAUGCAAGUCGAACGGAAAGGCCCUGCUUUUGUGGGGUGCUCGAGUGGCGAACGGGUGAGUAACACGUGAGUAACCUGCCCUUGACUUUGGGAUAACUUCAGGAAACUGGGGCGAAUACCGGAUAUGAGCUCCUGCUGCAUGGUGGGGGUUGGAGAGUUUCGGCGGUUGGGGAUGGACUCGCGGCUUAUCAGCUUGUUGGUGGGGUAGUGGCUUACCAAGGCUUUGACGGGUAGCCGGCCUGAGAGGGUGACCGGCCACAUUGGGACUGAGAUACGGCCAAGACUCCUACGGGAGGCAGCAGUGGGGAUUAUUGCACAAUGGGCGGAAGCCUGAUGCAGCAACGCCGCGUGCGGGAUGACGGCCUUCGGGUUGUAAACCGCUUUCGCCUGUGACGAAGAGUGAGUGACGGUAAUGGGUAAAGAAGCACCGGCUAACUACGUG
rnacentral:rRNA from 1 species